ACUGAAAGCAUUUUAAUGUGCUGUUGUAGAGCUUUGAAGACUCAAGCAACAUUCUCAAGAUACGUCUAGCUGUGGUCGUCGGUUGUAACAUUCUUAUUGUUUACACCUUUCUAAAAGCGUCACAAAGACUAAGCGAUGAAACCAGUCAAAUGUUUGAGACAUUAGCUGCUUCUCCUUGGUAUUUAUACAAUAAAAGUAACAGAGGAGUUUUGUUAACUUUUAUGACGAAUACAUUGGAACCACUAACAAUCAGUUUCGCAGGGAUUACUCUGGAUUAUAAGUUUGGUCUAACCAUAAUAAGAACAAGUUAUUCUUAUGCUUUAUUCCUCUACAAUAUACGCAAACAGGAAAUAACGUAAACAACGAAUAAACAAUCACCACUUGCUCAUUUAGGUUGGAAAGUCGAAAUUUUAUCCAAAGUGGAAUUUUGGCUGUCAUUAACAUCUAUGAAAGUUUGAUUGUGAACGAACCAUCGUAUUGAAAGUUAUUAAUCUGACAUUUGACACCUCGCCGAACGUAUUAAAAAUUGUGAUCCGUUCACAACAGAUUCAUAGU